AGUCCUGUGGUGUAGCGGUCAAUCAUGCCGGCCUUUGGAGCCGGCGACCCUGGUUCGAAUCCGGGCAGGACUG
rnacentral:tRNA from 1 species